UACGGGGGGAGCAAGCGUUGUUCGGAUUUACUGGGCGUAAAGGGCGCGUAGGCGGUCAGCACAAGUCAGUUGUGAAAUCUCCGGGCUUAACUCGGAAAGGUCAACUGAUACUGUGCGACUAGAGUGCGGAAGGGGCAACUGGAAUUCUCGGUGUAGCGGUGAAAUGCGUAGAUAUCUGGAGGAACACCGGUGGCGAAGGCGGGUCUCUGGGCCGAUACUGACGCUGAGGAGCGAAAGCGUGGGGAGCGAACAGG
rnacentral:rRNA from 1 species